rnacentral:misc_RNA from 1 species
GAAAUGCGAUACGUAAUGCGAAUUGCAGAAUUCAGUGAAUCAUCGAAUCUUUGAACGCAAGUUGCGCUUUCGAGAGCCCUCGGAAGCAUGCCUCUCUGAGUAUCGGUUUCUAUAUAUCUCACACUGGUGUGUGGGGAGAAUGGGAGUUGUGCGGCCCGCACAUCUCUUGAAGUCAACACGUACGAAGUCCAUCGGAUUCUUGGAACGAUAAUCCGUCAUGGCGCCAGAAAACCAUACACAAGAUCUCAGAUGAGGUAAGACUACCCGCCGAAUUUAA